UACGUAGGGUGCAAGCGUUAAUCGGAAUUACUGGGCGUAAAGCGUGCGCAGGCGGUGAUGUAAGACAGGUGUGAAAUCCCCGGGCUUAACCUGGGAACUGCAUUUGUGACUGCAUUGCUAGAGUAUGGGAGAGGGAAGUGGAAUUUCCGGUGUAGCGGUGAAAUGCGUAGAUAUCGGAAGGAACAUCAGUGGCGAAAGCGACUUCCUGGACCAAUACUGACGCUCAUGUGCGAAAGCGUGGGGAGCAAACAGG
rnacentral:rRNA from 1 species